rnacentral:rRNA from 1 species
UACAGAGGGUGCGAGCGUUAAUCGGAAUUACUGGGCGUAAAGCGUGCGUAGGCGGUUUGUUAAGUCUGCUGUGAAAUCCCCGGGCUCAACCUGGGAAUGGCAGUGGAUACUGGCAAGCUAGAGUGUGUCAGAGGAUGGUGGAAUUCCCGGUGUAGCGGUGAAAUGCGUAGAGAUCGGGAGGAACAUCAGUGGCGAAGGCGGCCAUCUGGGACAACACUGACGCUGAGGCACGAAAGCGUGGGGAGCAAACAGG